CGCCUGGGGAGUACGGUCGCAAGAUUAAAACUCAAAUGAAUUGACGGGGGCCCGCACAAGCGGUGGAGCAUGUGGUUUAAUUCGAUGCAACGCGAAGAACCUUACCUACUCUUGACAUCCAGAGAACCUUUUAGAGAUAAAAGGGUGCCUUCGGGAACUCUGAGACAGGUGCUGCAUGGCUGUCGUCAGCUCGUGUUGUGAAAUGUUGGGUUAAGUCCCGCAACGAGCGCAACCCUUAUCCUUGUUUGCCAGCACUUCGGGUGGGAACUCCAGGGAGACUGCCGGUGAUAAACCGGAGGAAGGUGGGGACGACGUCAAGUCAUCAUGGCCCUUACGAGUAGGGCUGCACACGUGCUACAAUGGCAUAUACAGAGGGCUGCCAACUCGCGAGAGUGAGCGAAUCCCAUAAAGUAUGUCGUAGUCCGGAUUGGAGUCUGCAACUCGACUCCAUGAAGUCGGAAUCGCUAGUAAUCGUGGAUCAGAAUGCCACGGUGAAUACGUUCCCGGGCCUUGAACACACCGCCCGUC
rnacentral:rRNA from 1 species